GACGAACGCUGGCGGCGUGCCUAAUACAUGCAAGUUGAGCGCUGAAGGUUGGUACUUGUACCGACUGGAUGAGCAGCGAACGGGUGAGUAACGCGUGGGGAAUCUGCCUUUGAGCGGGGGACAACAUUUGGAAACGAAUGCUAAUACCGCAUAAAAACUUUAAACACAAGUUUUAAGUUUGAAAGAUGCAAUUGCAUCACUCAAAGAUGAUCCCGCGUUGUAUUAGCUAGUUGGUGAGGUAAAGGCUCACCAAGGCGAUGAUACAUAGCCGACCUGAGAGGGUGAUCGGCCACAUUGGGACUGAGACAAGGCCCAAACUCCUACGGGAGGCAGCAGUAGGGAAUCUUCGGCAAUGGACGAAAGUCUGACCGAGCAACGCCGCGUGAGUGAAGAAGGUUUUCGGAUCGUAAAACUCUGUUGGUAGAGAAGAACGUUGGUGAGAGUGGAAAGCUCAUCAAGUGACGGUAACUACCCAGAAAGGGACGGCUAACUACGUG
rnacentral:rRNA from 1 species